ACACGACUACAUUAGAUACCCGGGUAGUCCCAGCCGUAAACGAUGCGCGUUAGGUGUAUCGACGACCACGAGUCGUCGAGGUGCCGAAGGGAAACCGUGAAACGUGCCGCCUGGGAAGUACGGUCGCAAGGCUGAAACUUAAAGGAAUUGGCGGGGAGCACCACAACAGGUGGAGCCUGCGGUUUAAUUGGACUCAACGCCGGAAAUCUCACUGGAUAAGACAGCAGAAUGAUUGCCGGGCUGAAGACUCUGCAUGACUAGCUG
rnacentral:rRNA from 1 species